AUACUUAACUAAUAUUGAAUGAAUACCUAAACUAAAAUAAUUAGUUUCAAUGAAUGAAUAAAUAUAAUGACAACAGAGGGGGUAGAGUUCUUAGUAAUUAUAGGAGCUCUCUUACACCUCACACUGUUGAAGCUUUAAUUUGUGCACAAAAUUGGUUAAGAUCUUCACCUUUGUCAGUUGAUAUUGAGGAGCAUUUGGAAGAUUUAGAGAAGCUCGAAGAAGAAUUAGCUCCGAUUCCACAAUUGAAUGAGGGACUUUCUGAUAUUGAAUCUGAUUAGUAGAUGUGCUUCAAAAGGAAAUGAAAUGAUGGAGUCAUGGAGAUGGAGACAUUGUUACUUUGGUGUAAUAUGAUAUGUAGAUGGAGUCAUGGAGAUGGAGAUGGAGACAAUGUAAUUUUUUUUGGUAUUUUGAUAUAGACAAUGUUAGUGUUGGAGACAAUGUAAUUUCUUUUAGUAUUUUGAUAUAGACAGUGUUAGUGUUACAGUUACAGUGUAAUGUAAUUGAUAUAGUCUGAUACUUUGAUACUUCUUUUGGUAUUGA